GGGGCGGUGGUGUAGUUGGGAGUCACAUUCGACUGAAGUCUACUUUGGUUUCACAUAUAUCGAAAGGUCACCCGUUCGAUCCGGGUUCGUCCCA